rnacentral:rRNA from 1 species
GCAUGGUCCUCUGGGAAAGCUUUUGCGGUAUGGGAUGGGGUCGCGUCCUAUCAGCUUGAUGGCGGGGUAACGGCCCACCAUGGCUUCGACGGGUAGCCGGCCUGAGAGGGCGACCGGCCACAUUGGGACUGAGAUACGGCCCAGACUCCUACGGGAGGCAGCAGUGGGGAAUAUUGCACAAUGGGCGCAAGCCUGAUGCAGCGACGCCGCGUGCGGGAUGACGGCCUUCGGGUUGUAAACCGCUUUUGACUGGGAGCAAGCCCUUCGGGGUGAGUGUACCUUUCGAAUAAGCACCGGCUAACUACGUGCCAGCAGCCGCGGUAAUACGUAGGGUGCAAGCGUUAUCCGGAAUUAUUGGGCGUAAAGGGCUCGUAGGCGGUUCGUCGCGUCCGGUGUGAAAGUCCAUCGCUUAACGGUGGAUCCGCGCCGGGUACGGGCGGGCUUGAGUGCGGUAGGGGAGACUGGAAUUCCCGGUGUAACGGUGGAAUGUGUAGAUAUCGGGAAGAACACCAAUGGCGAAGGCAGGUCUCUGGGCCGUCACUGACGCUGAGGAGCGAAAGCGUGGGGAGCGAACAGGAUUAGAUACCCUGGUAGUCCACGCCGUAAACGAUG